GACGAACGCUGGCGGCGUGCUUAACACAUGCAAGUCGAGCGGAAAGGCCCUGCUUUUGUGGGGUGCUCGAUUGGCGAACGGGUGAGUAACACGUGUGUAUCCUGCCCUUGUCUUUGGGAUAAAUUCAGGGAACUGGGGCUAAUACCGGAUAGAAGCUCCUGCUGCAUGGUGGGGGUUGGAAAAUUUCGGCGGUUGGGGCUGGACUCGCGGCUUCUCAGCUUGUUGGUGGGGUAGUUGCUUACCCAGGCUUUGACGGGUAGCCGGCCUGAGAGGGGGACCGGCGACAUGGGGACUGCGAGACGGCCCAGACUCCUACGGGAGGCAGCAGUGGAGAAUAUUGCAGAAUGGGCGGAAGCCUGAUGCAGCGACGCCGCGUGCGGGAUGACGGCCUUCGGGUUGUAAACAGCUUUCGCCUGUGACGAAGCGUGAGUGACGGUAAUGGGUAAAGAAGCACCGGCUAACUACGUG
rnacentral:rRNA from 1 species